GGCAGCAGCCAUAUCACUCUGCACCUCACAGCUGGCAGCCCACUGGAGCUCAGCAGGCGUGAGUCUGGUCAGUACCUGGAUGGGAGACUCCUGGGAAAAACUAAGGCUGCUGCUG
rnacentral:rRNA from 1 species